UACGUAGGGUGCAAGCGUUAAUCGGAAUUACUGGGCGUAAAGCGUGCGCAGGCGGUUGUGCAAGACAGAUGUGAAAUCCCCGGGCUCAACCUGGGAACUGCAUUUGUGACUGCACGGCUGGAGUGCGGCAGAGGGGGGGAUGGAAUUCCUGGUGUAGCAGUGAAAUGCGUAGAUAUCAGGAGGAACACCGAUGGCGAAGGCAGGUCUCUGGGCUGACACUGACGCUCAUGCACGAAAGCGUGGGGAGCAAACAGG
rnacentral:rRNA from 1 species